rnacentral:rRNA from 1 species
UACGUAGGGUGCAAGCGUUGUCCGGAAUUAUUGGGCGUAAAGAGCUCGUAGGCGGUCUGUCGCGUCGGCUGUGAAAUCCCGGAGCUCAACUCCGGGCCUGCAGUCGAUACGGGCAGACUGGAGUUCGGCAGGGGAGACUGGAAUUCCCGGUGUAGCGGUGAAAUGCGCAGAUAUCGGGAGGAACACCGGUGGCGAAGGCGGUUCUCUGGGCCUGUACUGACGCUGAGGAGCGAAAGCGUGGGGAGCGAACAGG